rnacentral:rRNA from 1 species
GAUGAACGCUGGCGGCGUGCCUAAUACAUGCAAGUCGAGCGAACGGACGAGAAGCUUGCUUUUCUGAUGUUAGCGGCGGACGGGUGAGUAACACGUGGAUAACCUACCUAUAAGACUGGGAUAACUUCGGGAAACCGGAGCUAAUACCGGAUAAUAUUUUGAACCGCAUGGUUCAAAAGUGAAAGACGGUCUUGCGGUCACUUAUAGAUGGAUCCGCGCUGCAUUAGCUAGUUGGUAAGGUAACGGCUUACCAAGGCAACGAUGCAUAGCCGACCUGAGAGGGUGAUCGGCCGCCCUGGAACUGAGACACGGUCCAGACUCCUACGGGAGGCAGCAGUAGGGAAUCUUCCGCAAUGGGCGAAAGCCUGACGGAGCAACGCCGCGUGAGUGAUGACGGUCUUCGGAUCGUAAAACUCUGUUACUAGGGAAGAACAUAUGUGUAAGUAACUGUGCACAUCUUGACGGUAACUAAUCAGAAAGCCACGGCUAACUACGUG